rnacentral:siRNA from 1 species
CUGCCUUGGAUGGAUCGGCCAGA